UCCCCCGGCUCUCUCCCCCGGUGGAGCGCACUGCUGCUCCGGUGAAUCGGUGUCUAUAACCGGUCUCUCGCGCACGCACCCACCCCAGAAAACUCCCCUCUCUCCGUGCGAGGAGCCGAGCAGGAGUUGGGACGAGCUGCCGAGCCCGAUCGCCUCCUUUUGUAUUUUCUGUUUUUGUGAUUUAACUCAUCUGUGAGUGGACGGAGCCGGAGGAAGGAGGGCUCGUGGACCGGACACCGGAGACCGGAGGACCGGAGCACCGGGAGAUGGAUGAAGGUGUCAGGAAGGAUUGACCUGGCGACCAGAUGACACAAAGGUGGGAGGAGGGUGUCCUUGUUAGCUUGUCAUCCUGUGGUAACCCCGAGGCCAGUGGCGUGACUGGAAUGUGAUUCACCCUCUGAAGCUCUGACUCCACCUGAGGACGUCCGGCUGCCCAGAGAAACUCCGG